GAUGAACGCUGACAGAAUGCUUAACACAUGCAAGUCUUUGGCGAAGCUGUGCUUGCACAGCCUAGCCAAGGCGGACGGGUGAGUAACGCGUAAGGAACUUGCCCUGCAGUCAGGGAUAACAGACGGAAACGACUGAUAAGACCUGGUAAAGUCAGGCGGACUCAUGUCCAGCCUGAUGAAAAGAGAUGCUGCAGGAGAGCCUUGUGUCCUAUUAGCUUGUUGGUGGGGUAACGGCCCACCAAGGCGAUGAUAGGUAGCCGGCCUGAGAGGGUGGACGGCCACAAGGGGAGUGAGAUGCGGCCCUUACUCCUACGGGAGGCAGCAGUGGGGAAUAUUGGACAAGGGGGGCAACCCUGAUCCAGCAAUUCUGUGUGCACGAUGAGGGUUUUCGGAUUGUAAAGUGCUUUCAGCAGGGAAGAAAAAAAUGACGGUACCUGCAGAAGAAGCGACGGCUAAAUACGUG
rnacentral:rRNA from 1 species